ACGCUGGCGGCAGGCCUAACACAUGCAAGUCGAACGGUAACAGGAAGAAGCUUGCUUCUUUGCUGACGAGUGGCGGACGGGUGAGUAAUGUCUGGGAAACUGCCUGAUGGAGGGGGAUAACUACUGGAAACGGUAGCUAAUACCGCAUAACGUCGCAAGACCAAAGAGGGGGACCUUCGGGCCUCUUGCCAUCGGAUGCGCCCAGAUGGGAUUAGCUAGUAGGUGGGGUAAAGGCUCACCUAGGCGACGAUCCCUAGCUGGUCUGAGAGGAUGACCAGCCACACUGGAACUGAGACACGGUCCAGACUCCUACGGGAGGCAGCAGUGGGGAAUAUUGCACAAUGGGCGCAAGCCUGAUGCAGCCAUGCCGCGUGUAUGAAGAAGGCCUUCGGGUUGUAAAGUACUUUCAGCGGGGAGGAAGGGAGUAAAGUUAAUACCUUUGCUCAUUGACGUUACCCGCAGAAGAAGCACCGGCUAACUCCGUGCCAGCAGCCGCGGUAAUACGGAGGGUGCAAGCGUUAAUCGGAAUUACUGGGCGUAAAGCGCACGCAGGCGGUUUGUUAAGUCAGAUGUGAAAUCCCCGGGCUCAACCUGGGAACUGCAUCUGAUACUGGCAAGCUUGAGUCUCGUAGAGGGGGGUAGAAUUCCAGGUGUAGCGGUGAAAUGCGUAGAGAUCUGGAGGAAUACCGGUGGCGAAGGCGGCCCCCUGGACGAAGACUGACGCUCAGGUGCGAAAGCGUGGGGAGCAAACAGGAUUAGAUACCCUGGUAGUCCACGCCGUAAACGAUGUCGACUUGGAGGUUGUGCCCUUGAGGCGUGGCUUCCGGAGCUAACGCGUUAAGUCGACCGCCUGGGGAGUACGGCCGCAAGGUUAAAACUCAAAUGAAUUGACGGGGGCCCGCACAAGCGGUGGAGCAUGUGGUUUAAUUCGAUGCAACGCGAAGAACCUUACCUGGUCUUGACAUCCACAGAACUUUCCAGAGAUGGAUUGGUGCCUUCGGGAACUGUGAGACAGGUGCUGCAUGGCUGUCGUCAGCUCGUGUUGUGAAAUGUUGGGUUAAGUCCCGCAACGAGCGCAACCCUUAUCCUUUGUUGCCAGCGGUCCGGCCGGGAACUCAAAGGAGACUGCCAGUGAUAAACUGGAGGAAGGUGGGGAUGACGUCAAGUCAUCAUUGCCCUUACGACCAGGGCUACACACGUGCUACAAUGGCGCAUACAAAGAGAAGCGACCUCGCGAGAGCAAGCGGACCUCAUAAAGUGCGUCGUAGUCCGGAUUGGAGUCUGCAACUCGACUCCAUGAAGUCGGAAUCGCUAGUAAUCGUGGAUCAGAAUGCCACGGUGAAUACGUUCCCGGGCCUUGUACACACCGCCCGUCACACCAUGGGAGUGGGUUGCAAAAGAAGUAGGUAGCUUAACCUUCGGGAGGGCGCUUACCACUUUGUGAUUCAUGACUGGGGU
rnacentral:rRNA from 1 species